GGGCACUUGGCACAGUUGGUAGCGCGCACGCUUCGCAUUUGCUAUUUGCGUGAGGUCGGGAGUUCGACUCUCCCAGUGUCCA
rnacentral:tRNA from 1 species